rnacentral:rRNA from 1 species
AGUGAACGCUGGCGGCGUGCUUAACACAUGCAAGUCGAACGAGAACGGAUUAUAGCUUGCUAUAAUUGUCAGCUAAGUGGCGCACGGGUGAGUAAUGUAUAGGUAAUAUGCCUCUUACUAAGGGAUAACAAAUGGAAACGUUUGCUAAUACCUUAUACUCCUUAUUAACAUAAGUUAAUAAGGGAAAGAUUUAUUGGUAAGAGAUUAGCCUGUAUUGUAUCAGUUAGUUGGUGGGGUAAUGGCUUACCAAGACUAUGACACAUAACUGGUUUGAGAGGAUGAUCAGUCACACUGGAACUGAGACACGGUCCAGACUCCUACGGGAGGCGGCAGUGGGGAAUAUUGCACAAUGGACGAAAGUCUGAUGCAGCAACGCCGCGUGGAGGAUGACACAUUUCGGUGCGUAAACUCCUUUUAUAUGAGAAGAUAAUGACGGAAUUAUAUGAAUAAGCACCGGCUAACUCCGUGCCAGCCGCCGCGGUAA